CAGCCUCUCUCCUGGGGAGGCUCGCACAGCCCCGGAGUAGCAGGUUCCUACUUGUGCGAGCGAGCGCAGCAGGCGCUGGGCAAAGCCAGGGCGUUCCCAGCGGGGGACAGCGAGCCGCGGGGGCCUGCAAGCGCCCGGCCGGGGCUGGGGGGCCCUGGAGACUCCUGCCUCCGACCGACCCGCUGGGAGCCGGAGGCGCAGGGCUCCGCGGCCGGGUUUCCUGUGUGUCAGCAACUUCACUUCGCAGACAGCUGGCGGAAGGGCGAAGGAGCGCGCGGCCAAUCGCCGGCCAGCAGCCACCUCUGGCCAAGCGCACCCGUCGCCCUCGCGCCUGACUCGGGUGGCAGCGGUCGGCCAGGGGCUGAGCGCACCGGGCCCUGCGAGGACCCGCUCGCCAGAAGACGCCUGGGGCCGCCGGCGGCGUCCUUGAGGGCGGGCGGGCGGGCGGGCGCGGCGGAGACACGCCCCUCGGCUCCCCGCGGAGCGCGGACUCGCCCGGUGCCCAGGCCCCGCCCACCGCGCGCGGAGCUCGGCUCUCCAGCCCGCCCUCUGCACUCGGGACGGAGCCGGGCCUGGGGAAGGGCCCCCGACCUGCGUGGACGGCGAACCGCACGCAGCCUGGAGGGGCUCGGCUCUGCGGCCGCGUGCGCACCGCGGCGCCCCGAAGCCUAGCUUUUCGCCUCCAAGGUAGGGAGGAGGAAGAUGCCCCGAAGUUGAGCGUUGGGAGAAGGAGGCUGGUUGCGCUGGAACCCAGCCGAGCGAGUUUGGUGUGACCUGGCCGCGCACCAGGCUGCUCUGCAGCGCGGACCCGCGGACCCUCGGGAAAGCGCAGUUGGAAAGUUGGCGGUGGCCGUGCCCUGUGCGCCCUGUUGUGUAACCUCGGCGCCGCCAGCCGGACUGGGAAGUUGCCGGCCCGCCCUCCAUCCUGCUUCAGGCGCUGCCCGGGGCGGAUUUCAUGGCCCUGGGGGGACGCGCGGCCGCAGCCGGCGUGGGCGAGCCCCCGCGCGCCCCCUUCCGCGGGGACCCCCCGCGCGCGACCCCUUCCACUCGCGGGCUUCUCCGAUGCUCCCUGAGCCCUUUACCACCUCCGCCCUCUCGCCGCCGCGUCCCCCUCGGAGCUGCUGCCUAAGUCGGGGAGAAGAGGAUGACAGAGGGGCUGUGGUCGGCUGUCCCCAACGGGACAGACGCUGCCUUUCUGACCGACCCGGGCUCGCCUUGGGGAAACAGCACGAUCGCCCCCACCGCGGCCGUCACCACCUCGUUUAAAUGUGCCCUGACCAAGACCGGCUUCCAGUUCUACUACCUGCCGGCGGUCUACAUCGUGGUGUUCAUCAUCGGCUUCCUGGGCAACAGCGUGGCCAUCUGGAUGUUCGUCUUCCACAUGAAGCCGUGGAGUGGCAUCUCCGUGUACAUGUUCAACCUGGCGCUGGCCGACUUUCUGUACGUGCUGACCCUGCCCGCGCUCAUCUUCUACUACUUCAACAAGACGGACUGGAUCUUCGGGGACGGCAUGUGCAAACUGCAGCGGUUCAUCUUCCACGUGAACCUGUACGGCAGCAUCCUCUUCCUGACUUGCAUCAGCGCGCACAGGUACAGCGGCGUGGUGUACCCGCUCCAGUCGCUGGGCAGGCUCAAGAAGAAGAACGCCGUCUACAUCAGCGUGCUGGUGUGGCUGGUCGUGGUGGCGGCCAUCUCGCCCAUCCUCUUCUACUCCGGCACGGGGGUCCGCAAAAACAAGACCAUCACCUGCUACGACACCACCUCGGAUGAGUACCUGCGCAGCUAUUUCAUUUACAGCAUGUGCACCACCGUGGCCAUGUUCUGCGUCCCGUUGGUGCUGAUCCUGGGCUGUUACGGAUUAAUCGUGAGGGCUUUGAUUUACAAAGACCUGGACAACUCGCCUCUGAGGCGGAAGUCCAUCUACCUGGUGAUUAUUGUGCUCACAGUUUUUGCUGUGUCUUACAUCCCUUUCCAUGUGAUGAAGACCAUGAACUUGAGGGCCCGGCUGGACUUUCAGACCCCGGAAAUGUGUGCUUUCAAUGACAGGGUUUAUGCCACUUAUCAGGUGACAAGGGGUCUAGCCAGUCUCAACAGUUGCGUGGACCCCAUCCUCUAUUUCUUGGCGGGAGAUACGUUCAGAAGGAGGCUCUCCCGAGCGACCCGGAAAGCUUCCAGAAGAAGUGAGGCGAAUUUGCAAUCCAAGAGUGAAGACAUGACCCUCAAUAUUUUGUCGGAGUUCAAGCAGAAUGGAGAUACCAGCCUGUGAAGGCGCCAGAAUCCCCAAACACCUCACUUGUGUAACAUGGUAGGAUGCUGAACACAGCCAACUGCUUUCUUCCCCUUUAAGUUUCUAGUUGAGAGAAAAGUCAAAGAAAGUAUUGAGUUAAAAAAAAAAAAAAAAAAAAAACAGGGGUAGAAAUGCCCUCACUCACGCUUAGCUCAUGGAGGUUUAUGUUCAGACGCCCUUCUUACCUAUUGGUAGUAUGUAUAAUAAAACGACACUACCUAGUUAAACUUUUACUUUCUUGUCUGCCUUUAAAAUUUACAAGCUUUUCUAGUUCAAGUGUGUGUGUGCACAGGAGGAGUAGAGCUCUUUUAAUAUUAAUAAUUUCUCCAGGAAAACUAGCCACCUGAAACUUGAGUUUGUGACUUGUCCAAGCUUUCUUGUUUUUAAUCCUUCAUGGCAUGAACAAAUUGAAAAUCCAUAUCCUCAAACAUACGUAGCAUAGUACAUAACAAAGUCCUUCACUCAGUUCAUCCAAUAAAGAAUUAACAGGACUGACUGAAUUUCUUUUGGAAGUUGAGUAGAAAAGUGAAGUCAAUGAACAUAAAAACCCAAAAAGUGUUUAUUUUCCAGGGAUAUCUGGAAAACUGCUCACUGCACCCUCGGUAGUGCAGGUCUGUUGGUAGAAGCCUGCAUAUAUUAUCUGACUGGCGAAAUGCACUGGACAUAAUCAGAGUGCAUGUCUUUUCCUUGUAAACACUAUGUGCCCUGCUAGACUUCCUGUGAUAAAGGGUUUGCUUGCACCACUGCUGUGCAGUGUCUUAGGACUUUGUUUGUGUUCCAGGACAAGUGCUCAUUCCCAUCUGUGAAAACAGUUUCACAAAAUCACAGUGAAAUUACAGAGUAAAGUUUGAGUGCAGUCGAGUAAUGGUUAGCAAAUUGAGGGAUGAGGGCAGUGUUUUCUGAAGAGGGUGGUUGACAGUCGUCCACAAUGCAUGGACUACAAUUAAACAGGAGGCAACUGGGGUGGAAGAGGAACUUUUAGAACAAGGACUAUAAAACCAUGAUGCAGAGGUUCUUUUUGCUUCCUCAGAGUGUUUGAAAACAUUACGUGCAAUACAAAGAGAAGAAGCAGGCAGACUUUGUACAGGUUGCUAUUGAUGGAAUAGGAAACUAAACUCUUCCUGAACCUUAUAUCCUAACAUUUAAAGGAAGAUGAAACAUAUAUGGAAAGAGAAAUAGGGGAAAUUAAAUCAAAGCACCUAAGGUUGCUUUGCUCUGAGAAGCAAGCUACAGAAAGUGCCGAUCAAACUCAGAAUGAGGAGGACCCGGCAGUGUUUUCUAUUGUAUUUGUUCUCUGCCAGGCUUGAAUGAAAAUUGUGCAAAAUACUUCAACAACUUAAAUACUAAUUUUCAGUGAAUACUGAAUUGCUCCAUUUCUGGCCCUUGAAAUGCUCAAAUGUUAUGAGAAUAAUGAGGAAAUGUAACAGCCACAGAUAAACAAACCCCACAUCAAAGAAGCUUCAGCUGUCAAAGCUAGUCCCCAUAGCCAACAUCAGAGCCCACAGCUGAUAGUGGCGGACACAUCUAGAGGCGCCUCGUGAGUGAAGCCAUGUGGGCUGUAUGUUAAGUCAGGAGGGAGCUCAGGGCCCCUGGGGACAUGAUGACAGGGAAUUCAGAAACUGGUGUCAGUUCUUACAAUCCCCAGAUGGACUGAGGAUCUUGAGACCUUCAGAGCUGCUAGCAUUUACCCAACGCCAGCCAUUAAGAUCAAUGAAGAAAAGCUGUAUUUAGCUGUUCUGGGUGUUUUGUUUACAAGUUCAUCUUAAUGUAUAGGAUUAUGGAAAUGAAGGCAAGAAGAAAUCUAUACUUACUCAUUUUGAGCAAUGAGGGUUUGCAGUAUUUUCACUUUGUGAGGCUCAUGCAACAUUGUCAGUCUUAGAAUCCUAAGACAAAAAUCUACUUAAUUUUUUAAGUGCAUUGACCUUUUCAAACAAUAUCAAUAUUAUUAAACUGACUAAAAUUCCACAGCCUGUAUGAUACUUGAACUUGGUACACAUCUCUGUAAUAUUUUUCUCACCAUUUAAUUAAGUCUUCUUCCUGUCAGGCCUCAGGAUACCCAGACUCAUUUGGGGUAUGUGUUAAGUACAUUGUUUCACGUUCCAGAGAACUUUCUGUGGGAGCAGAUCCAGCCAGGAGGUGGACAGUGGCUAGAAAUGCCCUUUUACUAAUUGGCAUGUUUUUUCCAAAGUGUUUCUUCUUUGCUUCAUGCAGCACACAGGCAGCCAGGACAUGUGAAUGCAUGCCACAUAGUAACAAGAAUGAUCUUGCCAACUCCUUCCAGGCCGGCAGAAGUCUCUGGGAACAUCUGUCCUAAUGGUGAACACAUACAGAGGGUCAGGACGGAGCAGUGAUCUAUUGGCUGAAAAGCUGAUUCAUGCCACACGAGGAAAUAUGAGACUCUUCAGUCCAGUCCUUGGCUAAAAUGUUCACAAGGUCCAGAAGUUGUGAUGUGGGCAGGUCAUACUCUGCAAGUCUUCUCUGUCUACUCAGACAGGACACUAAUAACCUUUGGAUUCAACAGAUGUCAGUACUUUUAGCAGCUGCAAUUCAACUAGAGACGGUACUUAAAGGUGUGAUCCUAGUAGAUCUACUGAAGCUUUGGCAUUGCUGGUCCAAUUCUGCCUUUCCUAAUAGUAUGUAUGGAGGAAGCUCGCAUCCUUCAGUUGCACACACUGAAAAACUUCUUGAAAGAUCCAACAUCAUGAUGUAAAUGGUAUUUAUUACAGUGUAUAAUGUUAUAAUGUCACCAUGGUGUACUUAUGUAAUAGGUGAUGCAUAGACACAAUGACAAUUAUAUAUCAUAAUGCUUUUCAGGUCUUGAAAUGUUUGUUUUUAGAUUUUUGUGUGUCUAAAACAUUAAAAUCUGUUUCACAAUGCAAGUGACUAAUUUUCCCUAGAAGUGGAUUUGUGUGCUUGCCUUUUCAGAGUUCUUUCUGUGGAAACACAAUCUGGUGUCAGAUUAUCAUAAGAUCAGUAGUAAAUAGGAAGUACUUUAGCCAGACUGGCUCUGUAUUAGCUACAUUUUAUAUAUGUUAUAGAAAAGUCCACAUUGUCUUUUCAGGAGACUUAGAAUUUGUUCCUGGCUGUGAUCAGAGUUUCCCCUCCCAAGGGCAAAGGAUCAAGUUGGUUGCUUCUGUGUUAGUCUAUUGGAAUGUGCGUUAUAAACCAACCUUAGAAUUUAUUGACAGGCUUCAGGGAGAUGGGAGAGAAAAAGUCAGCUGAUACCAUCACCUGUAAUUGCUCAGUUCUGAAGAUUCUGCAUUGUGUUUCUUCUUAAAGUGAAACUGUAUAAUCUUAAUUUCUUUGAGAUGGAGUUUUUAAGUAACACACUACCAGCAAGUUCAGUGCUAUUGAUGUUCAGUGGGUAACUUUAAUUGCAGGAUUUUUGGACUCACACUCUUAUUUGGCUGCUGAUUUCUGUUACAGUUUCCUAUUCUCAUGUGCAUUGUAGCAUACGCAUCACACAUUAACAUGAAGGUGAAUAUAUGUUACAUAUCAAGAUUUGUGAAUUUGAAUUAUAUUAUGUUCUAGUGUUUUUGCAAAAAAAGUUUAUUUUUAUAUUAUCUGUGAUUUUAAUAUAGAGAAUGAACAAGAUUUCUUUGUGAUUAAUAGUGCCAUUGAAUGAGUGGUAUGAAACAGUGUUACUUGACAUUUUGAGCCUUCUCAGGUUUAUCUCAAUAGGUGGUAGCUUAAUGAUAUCCAGACUAAUUGUGCAUAAUUGUGUUUUUAAUAAAAGAAGUGUAUAUUUCCUAUAAUAGCAUAGUAUUGUUGCAUGCAGGAGUAUGCAGAAUCGUGUGUGGGGUGUGUGUGUGUGUGUGUGUGUGUGUGUGUGUGUGUGGCUAAGGCAUGACAGCCAACUUUGUACCCACUAUUUAUAGCAGCAGCAGAGCUUCGUAAUGACAGUCACUAGAACUGUAUUUACCAUAGACAAUUAAAACUGAAAAAGACUCAAUAAAACUAUGA